rnacentral:rRNA from 1 species
CCUACGGGAGGCAGCAGUAAGGAAUCUUGCGCAAUGGGCGAAAGCCUGACGCAGCGACGCCGCGUGAGUGAUGAAGGCCUUCGGGUCGUAAAGCUCUGUCAGAGGGGAAGAAAUGCAGGUGGUGAACAACCAUUCUGUUUGAUGGUACCCUCAAAGGAAGCACCGGCUAACUCCGUGCCAGCAGCCGCGGUAAUACGGAGGGUGCGAGCGUUGUUCGGAAUUAUUGGGCGUAAAGCGCGUGUAGGCGGUUUGUUAAGUCUGAGGUAAAAGCCCCGGGCCAAACCGGGGAAGUGCAUUGGAUACUGGCAGACUUGAGUACGGGAGAGGAGAGUGGAAUUCCCAGUGUAGGAGUGAAAUCCGUAGAUAUUGGGAGGAACGCCGGUGGCGAGGGCGGCUCUCUGGACCGAUACUGACGCUGAGGCGCGAAAGCGUGGGGAGCAAACAGGAUUAGAUACCCGGGUAUU